AUUGAACGCUGGCGGCAUGCCUUACACAUGCAAGUCGAACGGCAGCACGGGUGCUUGCACCUGGUGGCGAGUGGCGAACGGGUGAGUAAUACAUCGGAACGUACCUUAUCGUGGGGGAUAACGCAGCGAAAGCUGUGCUAAUACCGCAUACGCCCUGAGGGGGAAAGCGGGGGAUCGAAAGACCUCGCGCGAUUAGAGCGGCCGAUGCCUGAUUAGCUUGUUGGUGGGGUAAAAGCCCACCAAGGCGACGAUCAGUAGCUGGUCUGAGAGGACGAUCAGCCACACUGGGACUGAGAGAAGGCCCAGACUCCGACGGGAGGACGCAGUGGGGAAUUUUGGACAAUGGGGGCAACCCUGAUCCAGCAAUGCCGCGUGAGUGAAGAAGGCCUUCGGGUUGUAAAGCUCUUUUGUCAGGGAAUAAACACCGGCUCUAACACAGUCCGGGAAUGACGGUACCUGAAGAAUAAGCACCGGCUAACUACGUGCCAGCCGCCGCGGUAA
rnacentral:rRNA from 1 species